rnacentral:lncRNA from 1 species
UACAAUCAGGACCUCCUUGUCGCCGAAUUACUUGUAAAAAGCGAAAACCAAUCGACCAUCUGAAUCUCUAAGAAUGCCACCCCCGGAUGCUCGCCUCUGAACCACACUCACAUCAGUAUUCAAUUUAAAGAAGUUGGGUGGGGUCGUUUCCACGAAACCGCCACACAACAUCUUCUCCAAAUGGGGCAGGAUGCUAACUCCGCUUAUGGAUCCUCAACAUUGCCCCUAAAAUAUGUGACCGAGAACACUUUUGCCUUGCCCAACUACCAUAUCAAUUGUUUAACCAUAAAGGUGACACUACCACCUCAAACC